rnacentral:rRNA from 1 species
GCCCAGCCGUCAACAAAGACAGUAUAAACACAACACUGUUCGCCAGAGAACUACAAGCUAAAGCUAAAAACCCCAAGGACUUGGCGGUGCUCCACAUCACCCUAGAGGAGCCUGUCCUAUAAUCGAUACCCCCCGAUCCACCUCACCACUUUUUGAAAUUCAGCCUAUAUACCGCCGUCGUCAGCCUACCUUGUGAAAGAAGCGUAGUAAGCAAAAUAGUCACCAACUAAAACGUCAGGUCAAGGUGUAGCACAUAAAGCGGAAGAGAUGGGCUACACUCUCUCCCCCAGAGAACACGAACAGCACCAAUGAAACACUGCUCAAAGGCGGAUUUAGUAGUAAGAUAAACAAGAGAACUUAUCUUAAACCAGCCCUGGAGCGCGC